rnacentral:rRNA from 1 species
GAUGAACGCUGGCGGCGUGCCUAAUACAUGCAAGUCGAGCGAACAGACGAGGAGCUUGCUCCUCUGACGUUAGCGGCGGACGGGUGAGUAACACGUGGAUAACCUACCUAUAAGACUGGGAUAACUGCGGGAAACCGGAGCUAAUACCGGAUAAUAUAUUGAACCGCAUGGUUCAAUAGUGAAAGACGGGUUUGCUGUCACUUAUAGCUGGAUCCGCGCCGCAUUAGCUAGUUGGUAAGGUAACGGCUUACCAAGGCAACGAUGCGUAGCCGACCUGAGAGGGUGAUGGGCCACACUGGAACUGAGACACGGUCCAGACUCCUACGGGCGGCAGCAGUAGCGACGCUUCCGAAAUGGGCGAAAGACUGACGGAGCAACGCAGCGUGGGUGCUGAAGGUCUUCGGAUCGUAAAACUCUGUUAUUAGGGAAGAACAAAUGUGUAAGUAACUAUGCACGUCUUGACGGUACCUAAUCAGAAAGCCACGGCUAACUACGUG